rnacentral:rRNA from 1 species
CAGCCGCCACGGUAAUACGGAGGAUCCAAGCGUUAUCCGGAAUCAUUGGGUUUAAAGGGUCCGUAGGCGGUCUUGUAAGUCAGUGGUGAAAGCCCAUCGCUCAACGGUGGAACGGCCAUUGAUACUGCAGGACUUGAAUUAUUGGGAAGUAACUAGAAUAUGUAGUGUAGCGGUGAAAUGCUUAGAGAUUACAUGGAAUACCAAUUGCGAAGGCAGGUUACUACCAAUUGAUUGACGCUGAUGGACGAAAGCGUGGGUAGCGAACAGGAUUAGAUACCCCUGUAGUCCCUGUCUCUUUUAC